rnacentral:rRNA from 1 species
AUGAACGCUGGCGUCGUGCCUAAUACAUGCAAGUCGCGCGAACGGACGCGAAGCUUGCUUCUCUGAUGUUAGCGGCGGACGGGUGAGUAACACGUGGCUAACCUACCUAUAAGACUGGGAUAACUUCGGGAAACCGGAGCUAAUACCGGAUGAUAUUUUGAACCGCAUGGUUCAAAAGUGAAAGACGGUCUUGCUGUCACUUAUAGAUGGAUCCGCGCUGCAUUAGCUAGUUGGUAAAGUAACGGCUUACCAAGGCAACGAUGCAUAGCCGACCUGAGAGGGUGGUCGGCCACACUGGAACUGAGACACGGUACAGACUACGACGGGAGGCAGCAGUAGGGAAACUUCCGCAAUGGGCGAAAGCCUGACGGAGAAAAGCCGCGUGAGUGAUGAAGGUCUGCGGAUAUUAAAACUCUGUUAUUAGGGAAGAACAUAUGUGUAAGUAACUGUGCACAUCUUGACGGUACCUAAUCAGAAAGCCACGGCUAACUACGUG